GGCUUUUGAAUAAUUAUUCUGAAGAGCAAACUUGCUGAAUGUUGGGUCGUUUGCUGCCUUUGCCUUUUUAUGAACAAAUUAAACCAAAUCUGCAAAACCAACUCCUCCCUUUUCUUCCCUCAAAUGUCCAGCCAGACUACACCACUUGUUCCAAAGAUAAUCUGCUUUGUUAUAAAUGGUCACUGGAAGAACAUGUUUUCUUCGUAUCGAGUUAAUUUUCCUCAAUAACAAACUCUAGAUUCUCCCUCAGAAGAACCUUCCUUCCUUCGUCAGUUUUGAUUAGCAUCAGGAUUUUGGGAAAUGCAUGUUGUUUAAUGGUACUACAUGGAACAUUACCAAUAGCAACUCUUAAGCAUAUGAGACAACAGUGAAUUACUGUGUGCGUAUUUAACAAAUUUAAACUAGUAAAAUUUGUGUUGAAUAUUAGAUUCAUACAUCAGCAGUGAAAUCUGUUUGUAGUCCUUCAAGAUAUUGUACUUAACUUUUUAACAGAUUUAUUCAGUAAUUAUUUGUAAACAAUUUUAUGUUAAGAGUUGUGAGUUGAACACAUUGUCAUUACAGAACAGGACAGGACAUAAGGCUAAAAUGAAUCCAAAACAUUCUUUAGAAUUUCCUUUGAAAAGUGAAACUGAAGGUGCAUUAUCAUUACCUUCCAUAAAUCAAGAAAACAUCAACAUGGCUGCCUUUAGUGGAACCAGUGAUGGAGACUUUUUGUCUCUGGAUCCAUUGAUGGACAUCAAAAUAGAGCCAGAGGAAUUCUGUGAGUCUAAUGAAGAUGAUGAAUAUUCAUAUGAAAUGAAUUCAAUAGUGAAUGAAAAACAUCAACAAACUUGCAAAAAGGAUGUAAAACAAGAAAGAAGGGUCCGUGACAAUGGAGAGAAGCCUUUCAUAUCCAAUGAUUGUGAGAAAGCAAUUUACAAGAAAGUUAAUCUUACAAAUGAUAUCACAAAUCCUACCAGAGAGAAAUUCAUAUGCAAUGACUGUGGGAAAGCAUUUUCCUUGAAACGUAAUCUUAUAGUUCAUAUGAAAAUCCAUACUGGAAAGAAGCCAUUUAUGUGCAAGGAAUGUGGGAAAGCAUUUUCCCAUAAACUAAGUCUUAAAGUUCAUAUGAGAUUACAUAGUGGAGAAAAGCCAUUCAUUUGCAAGGAAUGUGGGAAAGCAUUUUCCCAGAAACCACAUCUUACAAUUCAUAUGAGAACCCACACUGGAGAGAAGCCAUUCAUUUGCAAGGAAUGUGGGAAAGCAUUUCCCAGGAAAGAUCGUCUUACAAUUCAUAUGAGAAUCCACACUAGAGAGAAUCCAUUCAUAUGCAACGAAUGUGGAAAAGCAUUUUCCCAGAAACAAAUUCUUAAAGUUCAUAUGAGAUUACAUACUGGAGAAAAGCCAUUCAUUUGCAAGGAAUGUGGGGAAGCAUUUUCACAGACUCCAAAACUUAAACUUCAUAUGAGAUUACAUACUGAAGAGGAAAAAGAAACAAUAUGAUAAAAUAAACCAGUUAAGGCAGAGAUUUCUCAAAUGACCAACUAUAUGACAGAUCAAUAUCACUUAAAAAAUCUGCUCAAAAAAUAAGGAAAAUAAAGAAUAAUACAGAAUAGGGGAUGAACAAUUGAGUGGAAAAUUGGCACUAGUAAAGGCCCUAGCUACACAAAUGAGAAACAAACAACAGAAGAUAAAAGCAAAACAGAUAAAUAGGCAGUUUGGUGAAAAUCCAAAGAUUGUUUAUAGAAACAUGAAAGAAACAGUGGAGGUACGAACACCACCAAGCAAGGAAGACCUAGAGAGAUUUUGGAAGCCACUGUUUGAAGACCCCAGACAACACCAAGAGAAUUCAUGGAUUGACACCAUUAGGUAGAAGAACAGCCAGAAACAGCAAAUGCCACCAGUAAGCUUCAUCACAAAAAAAGUAACAAAACUAAAAGAAUAUAUUCAUUUCAAGACCCCAAGAAUAGGCAAGAUCUAAAAUUUCUGGCUUAAAAAGAUCACAGCACUACGCCACACUUAAAUGCAAGCCUUUUCAAGAAUAGUGAAAGGAGAAGAAUCACCAGAGUGGCUCACAACAGGAAGAACCAAUCUUCUCCCUAAGAGCUCUGAGACUGAGCUCCUUAACAAAUAUAGGGUCAUCUGCUGUCUAUGAACAACCUACAAAUGGGUCAUAGGAGUCAUAGCAGAUGGGAUAUAUGAAAUACAAGAAAAUGAGAGAAAAGACAGAGAAAGAAUACAUCAGCUGCUGAAAGAAGAUACGUAAGUCAGAAUUAACAUCAAAGAACAAGAUCACUGCCAUAAACCAGCUGGUAAUACCACUGGUGACAUAUGGUUUUGGCAUUGUAGACUGGCCACAAGGAGAGUUAGACAGGAUGGAUAUUAAAACCAGGAAGAUUCUCACCCUACACAAAGUCACAUACAGACACCAGUGUGUGGACAGAAUAUAUCUUUCUCACAGAGAAGGUGGACUAGGCCUGACUGAGAUCAACCAGGCCUACAGAGCAACAAUAGUAAGUAUAGGGCAGUACUUGAAAAGCUCUGAGGACGAAAACAUCAAAAAGGUUGCCCAACACCAUAAUGGAGCCCUGAGCCAACUAACAUCAAUAACAAAACAGGCUAAGAACUUUGCAGGAGAUCUGAUAGAAGACAGAGGGUACUGAACAGACUCCAGCAAAAACGAUAGCCAGGAAGACCAAGCAGAAAUACAGUCACAGAGAGGAGAGACUUCGAAUGGAAAGGUAGAAAGACAAUGGAAGAGCAGGAAGAUUUCAAGAAAUGGAAAAAAGUUUCAUAGACAACAAAGAGUCACUCAGCUGUAUAAGAAAUGGAGAUCUAGGUUAUGAUGGAGAAAGACUGAUAAUAGGAGCACAAGAUCAAGGCUUCCUAACAAAGAGCUUCAAGAAAAUGCCAAGCAUAUCAGCAAAUGAUCCAUGUAGGAUUUUUCAAGCAGUGAUUGAGUGUUAGUCAUCUGAUAUCAGCCUGCAAGACUGCUUGCAGAUGGUCACUACACAGCCCACCACAACAAAAUGUGUAAAGUAUACAGAACUGAAGUAAAAGGAAAAGUAUAGGAGCAUGAACCAGAUCCAGUCACCUCCAAUAGGGCUGUUGCCAUCUUUUAUGACAAGGAAAUUCCAACAGGAAGAUAUAUAUAGAAGGAGGUGCUAUGAGACCUGAUGUUGUGAUCUGGAACAAGGAGGAAUAAACAGCAAAGAUUAUAGAUGUGACAGUACCCAGUGACUUUGGCCUCAAUAGAGCUGAAAGGCAUAAAAUAACAAAAUACCAAGACCUGAAGAAUGACCUGAAAAGCACAUGGGAACUGAAGGAAAUAGAAAAAAAUACCUUUAGUGGUAGGAGCAAUAGGACUUAUAAAGAAAAAUCUGAGAAAAUAUCUUCAGGGUAUACGAAAUUACCCAGUAUAAAUGAGGUAUAAAUUGCUGCCCUCAAAGCAAUGGUAAACACCGAGAAACUAGCCCAGCCAUAGACCCCAGGCUGGGGUCCAUUGCACCCCUGAUAUAAACUGAAAAUUAAGAAUAACAUAAGCGAAAGAGAAACCAUAUAGUUGCUCUUUAUGUCAAUGAAGUUUUUCUCAAACAAGUCCUCUCAAAAGACAAGAGAAUUCACACUAGACAGAAACUGUUUACUUGAUCUCUGUCCAAGUAGUUUUUAUUACAUGAUUUUAUUUAACUUGACUCCUGCGUCUGUUUUGAAUGGUGUUUGAAAACUCCUGCUAGAAAGAAGUCAUAUCCUGUAUCUGCACUUGGUUUCCAAUAAGUCUUUUUUAUUAGGGUUUUUCAUUAGGUUCAUUUUAGAAUGAAUGUGUUAACUCAGUAGAAAGACGAUGUUGAAACAGUUUUUCUCUUGUAGACUCAUAACAUAUGUGAGCACUCAUGGAGGAUAGAUAUUAUUCUUUUACACUGCAUGUUGUACUUUUGUCUUCUAUUCUGCAAAUCAUAGUCAUUGAUUCUGAAUGCCAGACUGUUUUUCAGGUGUCAAAAUGCCCAAGCAAAGUCAUUCAUAAGCGAGGAUGUUCAGUUGUACUGACAGAUUUGUUAAUGUUUUGCACCCCAAGGUAAGUUGCACUUGAUGUGGAGAUAAUUAUUGUGAACUUGUCUGCAAAAUCUAUAGAAAAAAAGGCAACAGCAACCUAAGGGACGAUAAAAAGAAAAACCAUAUUCAUAUUUUUAUUAUCCAAAUCAUGACCAUCAUCAUUGCCGUUACUCAAAGAAGAGAAGGAGAAUCUGGAGGAGGGUCUCACUGAAAAUGCAGAUGAAGGUUCUUCAUUUGCAGUCUUUAUUAGAAGUCAAGGCAGAGCCAAAGUAUUUUGGCCAGAGUGAAUUUGAUGCAAAAUGGUUGUGUAACCUUUAUGCAAAGGUAAAAUAAAUGACUUUGUUUUUUUCUUACAAUUGUUCUCAAUAACACUGUACAGUGCUAGGUUAAGAAAUUCCCUUUGCCUUCUCCACUUAUCUUGUUCCUUUGUAUUUUUGUAUGUAUUCCAAAUAAAGAGUUAGUAUUGUCUCUGCUGAAUAAAGAAUUAGCUUUGUCUCUGGCUGACAUGAAGUUUUCUUCCUUUUGUUAUUCAGCAUUGUGCAUAUAUGCACUUGUAUAUGUAGUUGUAAGCUUGAAUAUUUCCAUGAAAUGUUAUUCUUAGUAGAAAUAGAAAGGAUUGAUAUCUUCAUUAAACUUCAAUGAAAUUUAGGUGCAGUUUUAUUUGAUUAUUUUUUAUAUGUUCUUGGUAUUAAUCUUCUACAAAGAUUGUGCUACAGCAUUUGUAAGUAAAUCCUAAUGCCUUGUAUUAGCUCACUAAAUACUACAUUGGACUGUGUAGUAUUUUGUUUUAGGUUAACCAGUCUGAAGUGUUGAGACUAGACUAGUUAUGUAAAUGACUAAAGUAAUGCAUUAUUCUGAUUAG